rnacentral:rRNA from 1 species
UGCUCCCUGAGAUUAGCGGCGGAGGGGUGAGUAACACGUGGGCAACCUGCCUAUAAGACUGGGAUAACUUCGGGAAACCGGAGCUAAUACCGGAUACGUUCUUUUCUCGCAUGAGAGAAGAUGGAAAGACGGUUUACGCUGUCACUUAUAGAUGGGCCCGCGGCGCACUAUCUAUUUGGUGAGGUAAUGGCUCACCAAGGCGACGAUGCGUAGCCCACCUGAGAGGGGGAUCGGCCACACUGGGACUGAGACACGGCCCACACUCCUACGGGAGGCAGCAGUAGGGAAUCUUCCCCAAUGGACAAAAGUCUGACAGAGCACCGCCCCGUGAACGAAAAAAGCCUUCGGGUCGUAAAGUUCUGUUGUUAGGGAAAAACAAGUACCAGAGUAACUGCUGGUACCUUGACGGUACCUAACCAGAAAGCCCCGGCUAACUACGUGCCACCACCCGCGGUAAUACGUAGGUGGCAAGCGUUGUCCGGAAUUAUUGGGCGUAAAGCGCGCGCAGGUGGUUCCUUAAGUCUGAUGUGAAACCCACGGCUCACCGUGGAGGGUCUUGUAAACUGGGGAAUUGAGUGCAGAAGAGGAAAGUGUAUUCCAGUGUAGCGCUGAAAUGCGAGAGAUUUGGAGGAACACAGUGGGGAAAGCGACUUUUUGUCUGUACUGACACUGAGCGCGAAACGUGGGAGCAACAGAUAUAUACCCUGGUGGUCCCCCGUAACAAUAGUGCUAAUGUAUAGGGUUCCCCCUUUGUGUGCGCUAAGCAUAACACUCUCCUGGGAUACGCCGCACGUGAACUCAAGGAUUGCGGGGCCCCACACCGUGGAGAUGUGUUUAUUCUAGCACGCGAGACCUUCAGGUGUGAAUCUCUGACACCUAAAUAGGCU